rnacentral:lncRNA from 1 species
CGCCCGGCCCGGCAGCUCUCCCAGCGCGGUCCCGCCGAUCUCCUCGGCCCCGAGCCCUGCUGCCGCCGCUCCUGUCGCCACCGUCGUCGUCGUCGCCGCCGCCGAAGGACUCGCGCUGCCGCGCCCCCCCGCCGAUGAAGCGUUGCGCGCACGCGCGGCUCGCACCGCGCCGCCCUCCGUUUCCCUCCCCUCUCCUCCCGCGCGGCCGCACGAGGCGCGAGGCGCGGGGGCGGCACUGACAGGGCCGGGCCGCGCCUCCUCAGCGCAGGGCCUGACGGGAACCGUGUCGCGCUGCGUCGUUCUCCAGCGAAAACCGAUCAAGGGGACUGCACAAUCCUUUUGAAUGCUGUGCAAGGGACAACGGAAGGUCAGAGUGCAAAGAACAGGGGUCCUCAUACCUCCCUGCAAGCAAAUUCUUCUCAGUUAUCCCAGCCUUACUGUAUCAUGGAACACAUAACCUUCUCCCUUUCAGGUAAGAGCAUCACCAUACUUUGCCCUUUCUCCCCGUUCUCUGGGCUAUAGAUGCUGUUAGUUCCACUUAGAUUAUGACCGCAAACCCCUGCUCUACACACAGAAUCCCACAUAUCAGAGAAAAUCAGGGAUGAAUUUCAACCCCCUCUGACAGUCAAAUUAUUUACUUACAUUACUUUCUUUUCUUCACUUGAGGAUCCAGAUUUGCACAUUUGUUUCUUAUACAGUUCAUAUUCUCCUGCUGUUGGAAAGAUGGCUUAAGCCAUUAAACAAUUUAGCUUCCCAUUAAAUUAUAAGUUCCUUACCUUGCAGGGAGAAGCAAAAUAAUCUGAAGCAAAUACAGUCCCCCACCAUUUCCCACAACUUGC